GAUGAACGCUGGCGGCGUGCCUAAUACAUGCAAGUCGAGCGAACAGACGAGGAGCUUGCUCCUCUGACGUUAGCGGCGGACGGGUGAGUAACACGUGGAUAACCUCCCUAUAAGACUGGGAUAACUUCGGGAAACCGGCGCUAAUACCGGAUAACAUGCUGCACCGCAUGGUUCAACAGUGAAAGACGGUCUUGCUGUAUCUUAUAGAUGGAUCCGCGCCGCAUUAGCUAGUUGGUAAGGUAACGGAGUACCAAGGCAACGAUGCGUAGCCGACCUGAGAGGGUGAGCGGCCACACUGGGACUGAGACACGGUCCAUACUCCUACGGGAGGGAGCAGUAGGGAAUCUUGCGCAAUGGGCGAAAGCCUGACGGAACAACGCCGCGGGAGUGAAGAAGGUCUUCGGGUCGUAAAACUCUGUUAUUAGGGAAGAACAAGUGUGUAAGUGACUAUACGCGUCUUGACGGUACCUGAUCAGAAAGCCACGGCUAACUUCGUG
rnacentral:rRNA from 1 species